GAUGAACGCUGGCGGCGUGCCUAAUACAUGCAAGUCGAGCGAACAGACGAGGAGCUUGCUCCUCUGACGUUAGCGGCGGACGGGUGAGUAACACGUGGAUAACCUACCUAUAAGACUGGGAUAACUUCGGGAAACCGGAGCUAAUACCGGAUAAUAUAUUGAACCGCAUGGUUCAAUAGUGAAAGACGGUUUUGCUGUCACUUAUAGAUGGAUCCGCGCCGCAUUAGCUAGUUGGUAAGGUAACGGCUUACCAAGGCAACGAUGCGUAGCCGACCUGAGAGGGUGAUCGGCCACACUGGAACUGAGACACGGUCCAGACUCCUACGGGAGGCAGCAGUAGGGAAUCUUCCGCAAAGGGCGAAAGCCUGACGGAGCAACGCCGCGUGAGUGAUGAAGGUCUUCGGAUCGUAAAACUCUGUUAUUAGGGAAGAACAAAUGUGUAAGUAACUAUGCACGUCUUGACGGUACCUAAUCAGAAAGCCACGGCUAAUUACGUG
rnacentral:rRNA from 1 species